rnacentral:rRNA from 1 species
UACGUAGGGGGCAAGCGUUGUCCGGAUUUAUUGGGCGUAAAGAGCGUGUAGGCGGCCAGAUAGGUCGGUUGUGAAAACUGGAGGCUUAACCUUCAGACGUCGACCGAAACCAUCUGGCUAGAGUCCGGAAGAGGAGAAUGGAAUUCCUGGUGUAGCGGUGAAAUGCGCAGAUAUCAGGAAGAACACCCGUGGCUAAGGCGGUUCUCUAGUACGGUACUGACGCUGAGACGCGAAAGCGUGGGGAGCGAACAGG